UACGGAGGGUGCAAGCGUUACUCGGAAUCACUGGGCGUAAAGAGCGUGUAGGCGGAUUGAUAAGUUUGAAGUGAAAUCCUAUAGCUUAACUAUAGAACUGCUUUGAAAACUGUUAAUCUAGAAUGUGGGAGAGGUAGAUGGAAUUUCUGGUGUAGGGGUAAAAUCCGUAGAGAUCAGAAGGAAUACCGAUUGCGAAGGCGAUCUACUGGAACAAUAUUGACGCUGAGACGCGAAAGCGUGGGGAGCAAACAGGAUUAGAUACCCUGGUAGUCCACGCCCUAAACGAUGUACACUAGUUGUUGUGAGGCUCGACCUUGCAGUAAUGCAGUUAACACAUUAAGUGUACCGCCUGGGGAGUACGGUCGCAAGAUUAAA
rnacentral:rRNA from 1 species